UGUGUAAAACAUGUCUUUAUAAAAUGGCAUAUAUUUGCUCUUAUUUAGAAAUGGUCCACAGCCUCAAUCUCAUCAUUUGGUGAAGACGAAGGGCACUACUACUUCUGCAAAACAUCAGUCAAUUUAUCCCUCAAUUCAUUCAUCUGUAAUUUUCAGAAUUAGCAAAGACUCAUUUUCGAACUUUCAUCUAUUUAUAGUAUGACCAAUUAAAGUAUUGGUUGGAGCAGUUGAAUAGUGAUGAUAUUCAACUGCCGAAACCAUACGCAGGCUUGUGGCUCCGUCCCUGAUGAUAUAUCCAAAGCUAUUUCCGAGCUCAAUCAGAGAACUUAUUGGCUGAAUGGCAACUGGAGCACGUCGUCUACUCGCUCAUACGAUCUUCUAAGACCAUCCAAUCUCUGGCAUAUUGGUGGGAGAAGAUGUGGGAGGUACCUUCAGUUGACUCCAACCUUUGCAAAUGCUCUUCUGCACUUGCAAUAAGAGGAUGAGAUAAUGUGUGCCCGUACAUGGGUCCACGUGGAUGAGGAUAAUGAUGUAAGAGAUAUUUUGAAUCAUAUCCAGCUUUUGAUCACAAACGCAGGUCGGGACCUUCAAUCGCUUUGUGAUAUGGAAAGCUCUGAACAGGAUCGUGUUACUUACGACACACUUCAAGAGAUUUGGCUUCUCAAGCCUGACAUGAUUUUAUUUCUACGACUACUUCCCAAGCUCGUCCGAGCAUUUGGUGUUGUUCCAUCUGCUGAUGAAAUCCUGGCUAGAUAUAUUGAAUCCCUUGUUGACAAUCUACAGUUUUUGCUAAACUACAAGGCAGAUUUUGUUGCUCCUGUGAAGGAAAAACUUGAAGUUUUCAAAGGAAAUCUGAAAAUUCUGAAAGAUGAAUUGGAUGAGGAUAUGGCUGAUUGCAUUAGUUUCACGCUGAUAGAUCUGCUACAGAGCAUACACCAUGCUAAAUCAGAUAUCCGUUCUUAUGUUGGAGGCCUGAAACUUUUACACCCAACUAUAGAGUUCACUAGGGAAGUGGAUGUCUUUGCAGCUGGCUUUGUUCAUUUCACCCUAGAAGCACCGAUGAGUAAGCUCAAUUCCCGGUCCUAUCUACCUAUCUACAACGAUCGUGUUCAAAAACUCCAAAUUUCGCUCAGGUUACUGCUGGUAUAUAUCUUAUGCUGUGAUAUCCAUAAUGAAAGCUUGACAAUAUUUGAUCUUGUAGUCAAUGAGUUUUGGUCAUUCAUUAGCUCAUUAGACAACCGAGAAACAAAUGAAGAUUUGGGCAAAGAAUUUGAUCUUGCUAUAUCCCGUUUGGUGCAAAAGAUGGAGCCUAUGGCAUCAAAGAUCUUAAAGGGUACUAUUGAGAAACAAAAGCCAGCAUUGCCCUUUUCCCAGAUUGAUAGUUUGGGAUGAAUAGAUUUGGUAUCGCAAAAUUUGCUGAGAUUGUUGGAUCAUAGGAAUGAUUCAAUUGCUCCGGUAGCACAUCACAUUGAAGUUGUACUGUUUGAUAUUAAAAUUUUCAGACCUUUUCUCAAAGGUAAUGUUGACCAACAAGGUAAGCACGAGGAAGUGUUAUAUGUUUGUGAUCGUAUGACCAAUUUAUUUGUCAUAUUUGAAUAUAUUGUUGACAUGUUCGUGCUUGAACCUUCUCCUCUAUGGAACAAUCAGUUAGACGAUGUCAUUGAAGAAAUUAAGUUCUUCAAGGAAGUUGUUGAAUUUUCGCAAAUCUACACAGGAAAAAAGGAUGUCCCAAUUGAUUGUCAAACAUCAAAACCUAGCACUCCAAUCAUUAAUGAAGCUGUUGUAGGCUUGGAGGACCAGAUAGAAUUAUUAAUGGCACGGCUAGUUGGUGGAGGAGCCGAGCUUAAAACCAUUCCUAUCAUUGGCAUGCCAGGAAUUGGUAAGACAACACUUGCCAAAAGAAUUUACAAUGACAGAAGAACUUCAGAUCACUUUGAUAUUCGAGCAUGGUGUUCUGUUUCUCCUAGACAUACGGGGAGUGAAUUGGCCCAAGAUAUUUUAUUUUCUAUCGUUGAUCUGAGCAAUGACAUUUGCAAGUCAGAGGAGGGGAAGGAGCUAGAUUUUCUUGAUCUUUUACGCAGACAGUUACAUAGAGGAAGAUACCUCAUCGUUUUAGAUGAAGUGUGGGAUUCUUAUAUAUUUGAUGAGUUGCACAGGUGUUUUCCAGAUAAUCAUAAUGGAAGCAGAAUUCUUGUUACCAGCGGCCGAAAAUAUGAGGAUCCAUUGUUUGAUGAACCUCUUUUGGUUCGCUUGUUGACUCCGGAAGAAAGUUGGGAGCUAUUACAAGUGAAAUUUAAUCACCUUAGUUUCUGUACUCAAGAAGAAUUUCGCAAACCCCCAAUUCCAAAUGAGAACUGUCCUGCUGAAGUUGGGAAGGAAAUUGCCGUAAAUUGUCGAGGGCUACCUCUGGCCAUUGUUUUGGUAGCUGGGUUUCUUGUCAAUUUAGAGGACGACAACGAUUGGCUAACCAUUACUGAAGAGGCAUUUAGUUCAGAAACUAACCGUGAUGUAGGAGACUGCAAUGAAAUAAUAGAAUUGAGCUACAAAAAUAUGCCUGGUUAUCUAAGACAAUGUUUUCUAUAUUUUGCAGCAUUGCCAAUGAGUACAGAAAUUUCAGUUUCAAAACUAACAUGGGUAUGGGCUAGUGAAGGAUUUGUACGAAGAGAUGAGGUGAAGAAACCAGAGGAGGUAGCAGAAGAUUACCUGAAUGAUCUUAUCGGGAGGAGCCUUGUAAUGGAGGCCAGAAGAAGUUCAAAGGGCGGGCUGAAAUCAUGUCAAGUUCAUUAUUAUCUAUAUCAUUUCUGUCGAGGCAGAUUUAAAGUCGAAAAGUUCUUGCCAGUGGCAUCACGAUUUGAAGCUUUCUUUCUGGAUACACCACAUAUUUCCCUUACCCGCACAAUGAUAUAUUCUUCUGAACCCGGAUGGCACUGCUCAUUGCUAGGUCCUCUCCCCGAGAAAGGUCUAUUUCUGGGCGUCUUUGAGCUUGUUAGAGUGUUGGACUUGGGGUGCAUCAACAUUGGCAAUACCUUUCCUCCGGAAAUAGAAAGGCUUGUGCAUCUGAGAUUUUUGUCACUUCAAGGUGGCAUGCCAUUCAUUCCCUCUUGGAUUUCCAGGCUCUGGAACUUGGAAACUUUCCUAGUGAAAGGAAGAGAAGGUGAGGUAACUUUACCAGAUACAUUUUUCAGUAUGAAGAGGCUGAGGCAUGCACAUAUAGAUAACUGUACCUUCUCAGAUUCCAACUUGUCCCAAUUGGAUUCUUUGCAGACCUUAUCCACUCCAUCUCUUUCUUAUGACACAAGGAUUAUAGUGAGAAGUUUCCCUUUCCUUCAAAAACUAAAAUGCAUAUUUUUGGAAUCUUGGGGUCAUUCUGAGAACUUGGGAGAAUCUUGCAAUCGAUUUCCAGUUUUGGAUUUCUUGAAUCAGCUUGAAUCACUCAAUGUGAUUUAUCAAGGUCGGGUGCUUCUGCCUUGUGAAUUUAACUUCCCCUCGAACCUUAAGAAAUUGACCUUAUCAAAGUUUCGGUUGCCAUGGAUUGAAAUUUCUGCAAUUUCAGCAUUACCAAACCUUGAGAUUUUGAAACUACUUUCAAAAGCUUUUGAGGGAGAGGGGAGUGGAACGUGAGUGAUGAGGAAUUUCCAAAACUCAAGUACUUGAAAUUGGGAAAUCUGAAUAUUACACGUUGGAAUAUAUCAGAGGAUGCCUUCCCAUGUCUUGAGCAUAUAGUGUUGCAAAAUUGCAAGCAGCUCAUUGAGAUUCCUUUUGAGUUUGGUGAUAGUUGUUCCCUGCAAAAGAUUGAGGUGUUCUUGUGUGGAGACUCUGUUUCUCAAUUAGUCAGAAAAAUUGAGGAAAGUCAGUGUGAAGAGAUGGCAAACAGCAAUUUCAAGGUCAUCAUUCAGAACCCAAACAGGGACUGAAGAAAACGAAUCUCGUCUUUAAUCUCCACGCUCGCUUAGUGAUGGUUAGACCAAUGAUGUUGUAUGGGAUUGAGUAUUGGCCAGUCAAGAAUUUCCAUGUUCAAAAGAUGAAAACAACAUAAAUGAUGAUGCUGAGAUGAAUGUGUGGACAUACCAGGAGAGAUAAGAUUAGGAAUAAGUUAAUCAGGACAAAGUGGUCGCUGUGGAGGACUAGAUGCGGAGGUCGAGGCUGAGAUGGUUCGGACGCAUGAAGAGGACAAGCACAGAUGCUCCUAUUAGGAGAUGUGAGAGGUUGGUUAUCUAAAAAACAAUUAAUGUCAUUGCCUGUAAAUUUGUGCAGAUAUUAUUGACUGUAAUUAUUUUUGGUCUCCAAUCUCUAAAUCUUCACUAUUCUUCUAGAUAUGUUUGAUAUGAUAUGUUGUACUAUUAUUUUC